rnacentral:lncRNA from 1 species
UAUUAGCGAAGAAGAUGAAUUGGACAAAACCCUCAGCCAAAUAGACUUCUCCAUCCUUACCGCCUCUCUUAGCACGCCGAGCGCCUCAACUUCCCUCCCCAGCACUUCUACAGCCUCUCCCCGCUUCGCCUCUCCAAGCCUCGCCAGUACGCCAACAACAACAAAAUUCCGCGCGGACUGGUUGGAGCGAGAGCGGGAGCGAGUAGAGAGGGAAAUAAAAGAAGCAAGAAUUAAAAUGCGCCAAGGGGAGGAGAAGUUGCGGAAAUGGCAUAACAACGUAAAAUAUGCUAGGGCCACCUUAUCCCGCUAUUUAAUGGAUGAGGCGACCGCUAGAAAAGAGUUGGCGCUGGUGAAGGAACGGUUGGCCAAAAUAGAGGCCAUGGAAAAGGAGAUGUUGUGCUGAAUUUUAAACUGUUUUUUUUUUUUUUUUAAUUAUGUUUUGCCUUUUUUUUAAACAUUCAAAAUUCAGAAAACAAUAAAACAUUCUUUUGAAAAUCUCUUUUUCCUUGAUCUCCAUAUUUGCCUACCGCCACUUCACUUUCCUUCAACAUUGACAAUCAUCAUCAUCAUAUUUACCAUCGACACAUUCAUAAAAAAAUAAACAAAAUAAAUAAAAAAAUAAACAAAAUAAAAACAGUUGAAUCACUGAGGGGUGGAAAUUGUAGGGCCAUGCAAAACAUUCUCAACAAUUCUCAACAAAUUCCCAACAUUUUCAUGCUCGUGUACCAUUCACUCAGCAGAAUAAUUCAAUGCUAACUUUUGAACAUUCUCAUGCUCGUGCAACUUUCAAUCACCAGAAUCAACCAAUGUCUAAUUUUCAACAUUCUCAUAUUCGUGCACCCAUAAUUCCCCAAAAUUAUCCAGUGCCUAAUAUUCCAUAUUCUCAUUUUUGUGCCCCCUCCAUUACUCGUCACCCUUAUCAACUUGUUCAGUACUUGCCUCUACGCACUCGUCAACCGCCCUAUAUCAAUCCUAAUUUGCAACUAUUCGCACAACAAAAUCGAUCCUCCCUUCAACAACAACCACAACAAACACGUUGUGUGCUAAAACCACCACGUCUCAUUAUACGGGAGCCACAACAACAGCGGGUGCAAAACCAACAACAGGAGCAACAACAACAAUUGGGGCCUCAACAACAACGGGAGCCACAAAUUGAUCCGCGCCGAAGCUUCGAGCAUCAAAACGAUCAAGAUUAGAGACGAGUACAACAAAAAGAACAACAUCAACGUCGGCAGCGAGAAAGUAGACUCGACAUUCAACAUCGUAGGCGCAAUUAUGAAUAAUUUCACUUCAAAUUGAAAUAAAACACAGAAAUUGUACUACUGCAUUGCUACUAAACAAAUAAAAUUUUUCAACUCCUCAACUUUCAACUUUCACUCAAUCAAUACAGUAGGCUGACAAGGGCUCAUUCAGUUUUACAAUAAGAAGGAUAAACGACAAGUCUUCACUCACUGUUGUUAUCUUAGCAUCAGCUGGUUGUUGGAAAUUGACGUAGGCAUAGCCAAGUGAACGACAAGUGAUCAUGUCUCUGCAUAUUCUAAUGGAAACCACAGGCCCAGCAGUGGAAAAUUUCUCAAAAAGCAUGGCUUCAGUGACCUCAUUAUGAGAUCGGAAG